rnacentral:tRNA from 1 species
GGGGGUGUGACUCAGUUGGUAGAGCGUUCGCUUAGCAGCUUUCAAAUCUACAAAAGGUCCUGGGUUCGAUUCCCAGCUCCCCCA